CCGAGCCCUAGCCGCCACUCGUUCUUCUUCCCCUUACAGCAAACUCUUUUGCUUGCACCUCCCGGGCGACACACUCAUCAUGUCGUCGUCGAUCCCGUAGCCACCGCGCACCUCGUCGCCUGAGAGGAUGUCCAGGAGGUCCGCCGCGGCCGGAUCCGUCCGUUCCGGGGACCAGCUCAAGCCGGGACGGCCCAUAUGCUCGCCAUCGCCGCCAUCUUCACCCACGGCCACCACAUCUCGCUGUCGAUCCCGUCGCAUUCCGGCCGCCCCGCGCUCCCUAACUACGUCCACGAGCAUCGUGGUGAGCUCUUCGCCCGAUUCCCCUCGUUUUUGUCCUCGAUCCGUUGUCGUAGCUGUCGCCCCCGAGUUCGUCCGAAAGUACGCGUAUGUACGUGCGUGGCCUCGCUCUUGCAGUUGACAGCUACUGUUGCCGUGCCGCCGUAGGACGCUCGCCUGCGUCCGUGUGUCGUUCGUCGCUGCCGCAUCGCCACGCCCCGAGUCCAUCCGCGCGCGCGCUCGUACUACCCUGGCCGCAGCCUCUGCUGUUGCUUUCUCCUGCUGCCGCUGCUGCUCAUUGCUAUUUUUCUCUUGCUACUGCACCGUUGCCGCUGCUCUAAGCUGCUCGUGCGUGGCUAUCUGCUACCUACAGCUGCUUAUUGCUCUCCCUGCCGUCGCUUUGUGUUGCUAUCACUGCUGCCUCCUGCUGAUGCGCUGCUAUACUGCCUCCCGCUGGUAGUGGUGCCGCUCAGGCUGCUAUGCUAGCCGAUGCAUAUGCUAGCCGUUGCUGGUCAUGGACUUGACCAUGGCCGGGUGUGUGUAGCGUGUGUGUGCCAUGCGUGUGUAUGGCCGGCUCUUUGUUUAGUUAAGUAGUUUGAUUUAGGAUUAGUUUAGUAGUACUAAAUUAGUAUACUAAUAAAUGACAUGUGUGUCCCAUUUGAUUAGAUUAAAUAAAUAAGUUUUGAUAUUUAAUAAAGCUCUCACAUGAGGACCCCCAACACUAUUCACUUUGGCCAGUCAAAUUUUGAUAUUUAAUAAGUGGAACUGUGUUAUCCCAGGCCAUCAGGGAUUAAAUCCUGAUGCUCACAUCUAUUUCCGGACUUAUUUCAGGAUUUCCGACGAUGCACAUCCACUAGAAUGAAACAUUCCCGUUGAUGACGAGGUGUCUACGAUGACUUUGCAUGGGGAUAGGGUGUGCAUGUGUGCAUUCAUAGGGAUGAGUGUAUUCGUAUUUAUACGAACGAUUGCGUGUACUGUGUUCAAAAGAAUAUUUUGUCUACAACCUUUUUUACCUCUUUUGGAAUUUUCUCAAUGGUUCUUGAAACAUUUUUUUUCUAUUGCUUUAUUGGUUCUAGUU
rnacentral:lncRNA from 1 species